rnacentral:rRNA from 1 species
CUGUACAGUUCAGAGUUUGAUCCUGGCUCAGAGUGAACGCUGGCGGCGUGCUUAACACAUGCAAGUCGAACGAGAACGGAUUAUAGCUUGCUAUAAUUGUCAGCUAAGUGGCGCACGGGUGAGUAAUAUAUAGAUAACCUGCCCUCUAGAAAGGAAUAACAGUUGGAAACGACUGCUAAUGCCCUAUAUGCCUUUAAUACAUAAGUAUGCAAGGGAAACGCUUUAGUGCUAGAGGAUGGGUCUGUAUGGUAUCAGCUUGUUGGUGAGGUAAUGGCUCACCAAGGCUAUGACGCCUAACUGGUUUGAGAGGAUGAUCAGUCACACUGGAACUGAGACACGGUCCAG